rnacentral:rRNA from 1 species
AUUGAACGCUGGCGGCAGGCCUAACACAUGCAAGUCGAGCGGAUGAAGGGAGCUUGCUCCUGGAUUCAGCGGCGGACGGGUGAGUAAUGCCUAGGAAUCUGCCUGGUAGUGGGGGAUAACGUCCGGAAACGGGCGCUAAUACCGCAUACGUCCUGAGGGAGAAAGUGGGGGAUCUUCGGACCUCACGCUAUCAGAUGAGCCUAGGUCGGAUUAGCUAGUUGGUGGGGUAAAGGGCUACCAAGGCGACGAUCCGUAACUGGUCUGAGAGGAUGAUCAGUCACACUAGAACUGAGACACGGUCCAGACUCCUAAGGGAGGCAGCAGUGGGGAAUAUUGGACAGUGGGCGAAAGCCUGAUCCAGCCAUGCCGCGUGUGUGAAGAAGGUCUUCGGAUUGUAAAGACCUUUAAGUUGGGAGGAAGGGCAGUAAGUUAAUACCUUGCGGUAUUGGCGUUACCAACAGAAUAAGCACCGGCUAACUUCGUG